AAAGCAGUCCCGAACUGGCACCGGAUGGUGUGCUUGACGAAAGUCUAGGGGCUGUUUUUGUU
rnacentral:ncRNA from 1 species